rnacentral:rRNA from 1 species
UACGGAGGGUGCAAGCGUUAGUCGGAGUUACUGGGCGUAAAGCGCACGUAGGCGGUGCGGUAAGUCUGAUGUGAAAUCCCACAACUCAAUUGUGGAAGUGCAUUGGAUACUGCCGAGCUAGAGUAUAGGAGAGGAGAGCGGAAUUCCUGGUGUAGAGGUGAAAUUCGUAGAUAUCAGGAGGAACAACAGAAGCGAAGGCGGCUCUCUGGACUAUAACUGACGCUGAGGUGCGAAAGCGUGGGGAUCAAACAGG